rnacentral:rRNA from 1 species
AUGGUCAAAGAAUACAAAUAUUUCGCGAGUAGAAAAAGCAUACAGAUAUUAAUUAUCAGUAAAAAGAUGAAGUAUUCAGAUAUAAAAAUGCUUUCACCUCACUUGUCAGGCUAUUAUGAACUAUAUUUUUGGUGUAAUUUCCAUAUCAGAAUAAAACUGGCUCAUCCGAUGCUUGACUGUAUCUUAGCAUGCUUAUCGAGUACAUUCCUUAUGUCAUUUUUACAGAUAAAUUCAUUUGUGUCAAGUAUCACCUUUUGCCAUAUCAAUAUGAAAAGUUGUCAUAUAUUGGCCUGUCAAAUUUAUCAGCUUGCUAGCCAUUUUUGUUUGUGA